rnacentral:rRNA from 1 species
ACGGGGGAUGCGAGCGUUAUCCGGAUUUAUUGGGUUUAAAGGGCGCGUAGGCGGGAUGCCAAGUCAGCGGUAAAAGACUGCAGCUAAACUGUAGCACGCCGUUGAAACUGGUGACCUAGAGAGAAGUCGAGGGAGGCGGAACAAGUGAAGUAGCGGUGAAAUGCUUAGAUAUCACUUGGAACCCCGAUAGCGAAGGCAGCUUCCCAGUCUUUGUCUGACGCUGAUGCGCGAGAGCGUGGGUAGCGAACAG